AGCCUUGCCCCACCCUUUCAGGGUUCCCAAAUCUGGCCAGUCUUUCUGCCCUUUCCCUUGCGGGUCGCACCCCGCCCAGGCCCCUCUCCCGCCCCAGGUCUCUCAGUCUUUUUUCUCAGGGCGUGUAGCUUCCUGCACACCCGGAAGCAGAUCGCGCGGGGAAAAGAUCACAGCGCUGCGCGUCAGUUUCCGUCUACCUGGACUAAACAUUUGCUUCGCCCCGUCUGCCUGAAUCGAACGUGCACUUGGCAGUCUUCCCUUGUCCAUACCCGUUUCCUGGGGAUCGCUACGGACCUUAAAAUACCAGCAACAGCCCCUUCGCCCCAAGGUCUUGCUCUGUCAGACUAGAGUACAGUGCCAUGAUCUCCGCUCACUGCAGCCUCAACCUCCUGGGCUCAAGCAGUCUUUCUGCCUCAGAGUGCUGGGAUUACAGACGGGAGCCACCACGCCAGGCCUACGAGAUUUGACUUGUAAAGAAUUAAUUAUAUUGACUGAGAGAGAAGCCCAGAAGAGGAAGAAGAGGAAAGAAAAGGAGUCAGGGAUGGCUCUUACACAGGGACCUUUGACAUUCAGGGAUGUAGCCAUAGAAUUCUCUCAGGAGGAGUGGAAAUGCCUGGAGCCUGUGCAGAAAGCUUUGUACAAGGAUGUGAUGUUGGAGAACUAUAGGAACCUGGUCUUCCUAGGUAUCUCUCCUAAAUGUGUGAUCAAGGAAUUACCACCAACAGAGAACAGUAAUACAGGAGAAAGGUUCCAAACAGUGGCACUGGAAAGACAUCAAAGCUAUGAUAUUGAAAAUUUAUACUUCAGGGAAAUACAGAAACAUCUACAUGACCUUGAAUUUCAAUGGAAAGAUGGUGAAACAAAUGAUAAAGAAGUGCCAGUGCCCCAUGAAAACAAUCUUACUGGUAAAAGAGAUCAACAUAGUCAAGGGGAUGUAGAAAACAAUCAUAUUGAAAACCAGCUUACAUCAAACUUUGAGUCACGUCUGGCUGAACUGCAGAAAGUUCAAACUGAAGGGAGACUUUAUGAAUGUAAUGAAACGGAGAAGACAGGUAAUAAUGGUUGUUUAGUUUCUCCACACAUUAGGGAAAAAACGUAUGUAUGUAAUGAAUGUGGCAAAGCCUUUAAAGCGUCUUCCAGCCUUAUUAAUCAUCAGAGGAUACAUACUACAGAGAAACCUUACAAAUGCAAUGAGUGUGGCAAAGCCUUUCAUCGGGCCUCACUACUAACUGUACACAAGGUAGUCCAUACAAGAGGGAAAUCAUAUCAAUGUGAUGUAUGUGGCAAGAUCUUCAGAAAAAAUUCAUAUUUUGUAAGACACCAAAGGAGUCACACUGGACAGAAACCCUACAUAUGUAAUGAAUGUGGCAAGUCCUUUAGUAAAAGUUCCCACCUUGCAGUUCAUCAGAGAAUUCAUACCGGUGAAAAACCUUACAAAUGUAAUCUGUGUGGGAAAUCCUUUAGUCAGCGUGUCCAUCUUAGACUUCAUCAGACAGUUCAUACUGGAGAGAGACCCUUCAAAUGUAAUGAGUGUGGCAAAACCUUUAAACGGAGCUCAAACCUCACUGUACAUCAGGUAAUCCAUGCAGGAAAGAAACCAUAUAAAUGUGAUGUAUGUGGCAAGGCAUUCAGACAUAGAUCAAAUCUUGUAUGUCACCGGAGAAUCCACAGUGGAGAGAAACAAUACAAAUGCAAUGAAUGUGGCAAGGUCUUCAGUAAACGUUCAAGUCUUGCAGUGCAUCGACGAAUUCACACUGUAGAGAAACCUUGCAAAUGCAAUGAAUGUGGCAAGGUCUUCAGUAAACGUUCAAGUCUUGCAGUGCAUCAGAGAAUUCAUACUGGACAGAAAACUUACAAAUGCAAUAAAUGUGGCAAGGUGUACAGUAAGCAUUCACAUCUUGCAGUGCAUUGGAGAAUUCAUACCGGCGAGAAAGCUUAUAAAUGCAAUGAAUGUGGCAAAGUUUUCAGCAUACAUUCACGACUUGCAGCUCAUCAGAGAAUUCAUACUGGAGAGAAACCUUACAAAUGCAAUGAAUGUGGCAAGGUCUUCAGUCAACAUUCACGUCUUGCAGUGCAUCGGAGAAUUCAUACUGGAGAGAAACCUUACAAAUGCAAAGAAUGUGGCAAGGUCUUCAGUGACCGUUCAGCUUUUGCAAGGCAUCGGAGAAUUCAUACUGGAGAGAAGCCUUACAAAUGCAAAGAAUGUGGCAAGGUCUUCAGUCAAUGUUCACGUCUUACAGUGCAUCGGAGAAUUCAUAGUGGAGAGAAACCUUACAAAUGCAAUGAAUGCGGCAAGGUCUACAGUCAGUAUUCACAUCUUGUAGGGCAUCGAAGAGUUCAUACUGGAGAGAAACCAUACAAAUGUCAUGAAUGUGGCAAAGCCUUUAAUCAGGGCUCCACACUCAAUAGACAUCAGAGAAUUCAUACCGGAGAGAAACCUUACAAAUGCAAUCAGUGUGGGAAUUCCUUUAGUCAGCGUGUCCAUCUUAGACUUCAUCAGACUGUUCAUACUGGAGACAGACCUUACAAAUGUAAUGAGUGUGGCAAAACCUUUAAACGGAGCUCAAACCUCACUGCACAUCAGAUAAUUCAUGCAGGAAAGAAACCAUAUAAAUGUGAUGAAUGUGGCAAGGUAUUCAGGCAUAGUUCACAUCUUGUAAGUCACCAGAGAAUCCACACUGGAGAGAAAAGAUACAAAUGUAUUGAAUGUGGCAAAGCCUUUGGGCGGUUGUUUUCCCUCAGCAAACACCAAAGAAUUCAUUCUGGCAAAAAACCUUAUAAAUGUAAUGAGUGUGGGAAAUCUUUUAUUUGUCGCUCAGGCCUCACUAAACAUCGAAUAAGACAUACUGGAGAGAGCCUUACAACUAAACUCAAUGUGACAAGGCCUUAGACGUUGUCCUAGUUUCUGGAAUCACCGAAUAAUUCCUACUUACUGAUAUACCUUGUAUAUUUACCCCUUCUCUUGAAAUCCCUGUGGAAUUGUAAUCUCCAGUAUUGGAGGUGGGGCCCAUUGGGAGGUGAUUGAAUCAUGGAAGUGGAUUUCUCAAACUGAGAAAGAUGUAGCGUCAUCCCCUUGGUGCUGUCCUGGCAAUAGUGACUUCUCUUGAGGUCUGGCUGUUUAGAAGUGCAUAGCACUUCCCUGUCGCUUGCCCUCAUUCUCACCAUGUGAAAUACCGACACCCGCUUUGCCUUCCACCAUGAUUUUAACCUUCCUGAGGCUUCCCUAGAGGGUGAUCAGAUGCCAGCACCAUGUUUUCAUUUAAGCCUUCAGAAAUAUGAGCCAAUUAAACUCUUUUCUUUAUACAUUAGCCAGCCUCAGGUUUUUUUUUGUAGCAAUGCAGUUAUGACCUAAUACAUUUACACAUGCAGUAAAUAUACCUAAGUUUUAAGCUAGUAUUCACUACUCACUAGGUGUAAGAAUUUGUAUAUAUAUUCCAGGAUGUAUACAUCCUGGAGAAAAAUCACAGAAGUGUAAUACGUGUGGCAAGAAUUCUACUCAAAAGCCAGAACUUGUAAAUCUAGGUAAUUAAAAGGGCAUAGAUGUAUGAAAUGAAAUGAGGGUGGCAAAACCUUUACUAGAGUUCAAUCACUACUUGUCAUAAGAGAGUUUAUACUGAAAGGAAAUCAUAUAAAUGUAUGUGUCAGAGGCUUUCCCCAGGCAUUGGAACUCACUAGGCAUCAGAAUAUACAUCUUUGAGAGGAACCACAGAAAUGUAAUGUGCAUGCUAAGGUUUUUACCCGAACAUCAAAAUGGAAAGAGUAUUCAUACUAGAGACAACCUUCCAAAUAAAUGGUUUUAAAAAAUGAAAUGUUCAAAGACCUGGAAUCAACCCAAAUGCUUAUCAGUGAUAGACUGAAUAAAGAAAAUGUGGUACAUAUACACCAUGGGAUACUAUGCAGCCAUAGAAAGGAAUGAGAUCAUGUCCAUUGCAGCGAUGUGGAUGGAGCUGGAAGCCAUUAUCCUCAGGAAACUAACACAGGAACAGAAAAUCAAACAGCACAUGUUCUCACUUAAAAGUGGAAGCUGAACAAUGAGAACACAUAUACCCAGGGAGGGGAGCAACACACACUGGGGCCUGCUGAUGGGGGUGGGAAGGGCAGGGAAGUGGAGCAUCAGGACAAAUAGCUAAUGCAUUUUUGCCUUAAUACCAGGUGAUGGGUUGGUAGAUGCAGCAAACCACCAUGGCACACAUUUUCCUAUGUAACAAAUUUGCAAAUUGUGCACAUGUACCCAGAACUUAAAGUGAGACAAAACCAAUGUCCACGCCUUUGCAGUUUGAUUGAACGUAUAAAGGAGAAAAAUCCUGUAAGUAUGCUGAACAUGAAAGGACCUGGAAGCAGUAGUGUGUCUUCAGCCUUUACCAAAUUAUCCCUACUUGAGAGAAAACUUGGAAAUGUAAUCAAUGUGGCACAAAUUUCAACCAGUUUUUUAAACAGACUACACAUCUUUGAAAUCAUACUAGGGAUAACCAAAUCUGCUUCUCCAAGAUUGGCCUGGAAUAUUAUUACAGAAUAACUACCAGACAACAUUUGUUAAAACUCAGGACAGUAUGUAUUUUAAAGGAGCAAGUGCAUGUGUGAAAAUGGCUCAUUCAGUUUAUAAAAUAUUACAUUAAAUUUGAGGUUUCUGUUUUUUUUCUUUUGUGACAGUCUUGCUCUGUUCCCCAUGCUGUAGUGCAGUGGCACCAGUUCACCUCACUGUAACUUCCACAUCCUGGUUUCAAGCAAUUUGUGCCUCAGCCUCCCAAGUAGCUGGGAUUACAGUCAUGCCACCAUGUCCAGAUAAUUUUUAUAUUUUUUUGUAGAGAUGGUGUUUUACCAUGUUUGCCAGGCUGAUCUCAAGCUCCUGGCCUCAAGUGAUUUGCCACCUUGGCCUCACACGUUGCUGAGAUUACAGGCAUGAGCCACCACACCUGGCCAAUGGGGCGUUUCUUAAAAUAGCUACUAGACUAUGACGUUUAUCCUAAGGUUUGAAGUCUAUCAUCUUCCUUACAUAUCCUUCAUUGUGGUAUCUGGGAAUGAAUCAACAAGAUGAGAGAGCCUCCUUCAUUCAGUGUGGCUCCUUCAUUUCCAUGCUUCCUGAAGAUUAAGGUCACUGAAUUUUAAAAUUCAAUAUUCUGUGAGUUACACACCAUGGAGUAACUGGGAGAAUAAUGUAAGUUUAUGAUGUAAGUUGUGCUUGUGUUCCAGGUGUCCAUGAACACGUAGAGUGCCACUUUGGGUUGUAGAAAAUAAUUGCACAACCAACUGACUGAAAUACCAGUGAGGACAUUGAUGGAAUAUUAAGGGUAUUCAUGAGAGGCAAGUGAUAGGUUACUAGGGAUGGAUUGUGUGGGAGAAAUAAUGCAGAGGAAAUGAUGAUCAUCUCCAUUGAAUGACAGCUGUUAUAUAGCAAAGAUAAAUGUAAAAUUAGUCUUAUUCUUGGAAGUGGAAGACAGCAGUUAUCAGAGAGGAGAAUUUAAUCAAAAGAAUCAGAAUAGCAUGGUCACAGGCCAGAUUCACAUUGAAGUAUUUACUCUAUAUUUUACUGCUGUUACAUUCAAAAUGUAUCAGAAGUCUCAUGGUUCAAUUAAUAAAAUGUUAUUCGUUUUCGUAACUCAGUGACGUUCCUUUCACCAACACAGAUUUAUCCCACCUUAGUAAAGAACUUCUAACAGACACUGCAUUACACUCUGCUGGUUAAAAUAAUGUGCGACAAUUGUUUUCUAUGGCGAAAUCAAACAACAUAGAUUUUUGCCCAUACCAUAGUCCCCCUUUAACCCACAAGAUGCCUUCCAAGUGUCCUCUAGUGGAUACCUGAAAGUGGAUAGUACCCAACCAUAAAUAUAUAGUUUCAGUCAAGUUUUGAGGUGUGACAGCAAAGCUAGUACUGAUUAUUUUUAUUCACACUUGUACAGAAGAUUUAUGAUAAAUCUUAGCAUCUUCAUCUGUAUUUUUUUCUUAUUAAAUCAAUAACCUUUCACUUUUUAACUUAAAGGAGGCGCUUUACAGCUUUCUUGCUUUCUCUUUUUUUUUUUUUUUUUUUUUUUUUUUUGUUAGGGGGUUUUGCUAUGUCACCCAGGCUGAGUGCAGUGGUUAUUCACAGGUAAGAUCUUAGCACACUGCAGCGUCAAAAAGUGGUCCUCCCACCUCAGCCUCCAGACUACCUGAGACUACAGGUACAUGCUAUUGUGUCUAGCUUACAGCUUCUCUGAGAUAUCCAAGUUGCAAGCCUCACUACUUUUGUGCUUUGGGGCCAUAAUUAAGUAAAAUAGGAGAUACUUGAACACAAACACGAUGAUACUCUAACAACGCUAACUGAGAUGACUACUAAGUGACUGAGAGAGGGGUAGGUUAUUCUGUGUGGCUACACCGUAUAAAGGGAUGAUUUAUGUCCUGGGUGGAACAAUGUGAAAUUUCAUCACAUUAGUGAGAACAGUGUACAGUUUAAAAUUUCCGAGUUAUUUAUUUUGGGAAUAUUCCAUUUAAUGUUUUUGGGCCACAGUUGCCACUGGUAAUUGAAAUCAUGGAAAGCAAAACAGCAGCUAAUGUGGGAUGACUGUACCAAUGUCUUGGGGGGAGGGAGCCAGCUGAUUGUGAGAUGUAAGUUUGUGAUUCUGAGAUAGCAGCUUUGCAAAAAACUGCAAUUUGUCAAUUCACCAAUAUUGAUAAUGUGCAAGCUUGGUGAGCUGAGAAUAUUCCUGAAAACCUUUGUUCCCACUGCGAAUUCCUGGGGACAGUUAUGAGUUCCUAAUGACGUCACCACAAAGACAUUUUGGAGUGUUUGGUAAAGGCUGUUUCUUUUCAGUGAUUGCUGGAAGCAGAUGGGAUCAAAUAAAAAUAGAACAUUGUGGGCUCCCAAGGCUGAGGUGGAGCUGGAGGAUGCCGGCCAGACUGCGGAGCAGCAGUCUUCCUUGUGCACAUGCCUGAAGUCCGCGUGGGUGUUUGAGGAAGUGGGGAUACAGCAUUUAAUGAAAAAUUUAUGCUUAAGAAGUAGAAAAUGGCAGUCUUCCUAGAUAAUUUUCAAUGGCCAGAAUGUGAAUGUAUUGACGAGUGAGAGAAGAAAUGUUGUGGCGUCUGUUGUGACAGGUAUAUUGUUUUUUACAGGCUGGUGGAUAAUGACGCAGCAGUGGUGUAUUGUAGGCCAGAACAGUUGAACCAUGCCUUUCACACAUGUGGUGUAUUUCCCACAUUGGCUUUCUUCAUGAUAAAUGCUGUAUCCAAUGCUCAGGUGAGAGGUGAUAGCUAUGAAAGUGGCUGUUUAGGAAGAACAGGUCCUUGAGUUUGGCUUUUCGUUGGUUUCAUGUUGAUGUUUGGGGUACUUAUUGCUUCCAUGUGGAUUCUUUUUGGUGCAUAUGUUACCCAACCACUCUGAUCUACAAAUUUGGAAGAACUGAAGAGCUGUGGACCUGAGAUCACUCCUUAAAUCACAUUUUCUUUGUGUUAUAUUCUGUUUGUAGAUAAGUUUUUAUCUUAGUACACGUUGCCAAAUGGAGUAGCUUGUACAUGAAAUGUUUUCUUUACAUUUUUAUGUUGUGUUAUUUUGUCUUUUUUGUUGUUGUUGUUGCUGUUGUUUUUGAGACAGAGUUUUGUUCUUGUUGCCCAGACUGGAGUGCAAUGGCGCGAUCUCGGCUCACCACAACCUCUGCCUCCUGGGUUCAAGCGAUUCUUCUGCCUCAGCCUCCCAAGUGGCUGGGAUUACAGGCAUGCACCACCACACCCAGCUAAUUUUGUAUUUUUAGUAGAGAUGGGGUUUCUCCCUGUUGGUCAGGCUGGUCUCAAACUCCCAACCUCAGAUGAUCUGCUCGCCUCGACCUCCCAAAGUGCUGGGAUUACAGGCAUGAGCUACCACACCCUGCCUAUGUUGUGUGUUUUUAAAGUUUUAUGAAAUUUCUGUUCUUCAUUUUUCAUUGCAUAGACUGUUAAUAUGUAUAUAGUACAAGACUAUAUGGCUUGGAUAAUGAGUAUCUUUUAUUCCUGAGAUUUAGAACUUGAUCUGUUCCCUAAGCCAGGGUUAUAUCAUCAUGUCAUUUUAGAAGUAACCACUCUCUCUCUGGCCGGGUGCAGUGGCUCACGCCUGUAAUCCCAGCACUUUGGGAGGCCGAGGUAGGUGGAUCACCUGAGGUCAAGUUUGAGACCAGCCUGACCAAUAUGGUGAGACCACAUCUUUACUAAAAAUACAAAAAUUAGCCGGGCAUGGUGUCAGGUGCCUGUAAUCCCAGCUACUUGGGAGGCUGAGGCAGGAGAAUCAUUUGAACGCUGUGGGUGGAGGUUGUAGUGAGCCGAUAUUGCGCCACUGCACUCUAACCUGGGAGACAGAGUGAAAUUCCAUCACCGCCCCCCUAAAAAAAGUAACCACUCUCUCUCAGUAUCUCUAAUUUCUGAAGAUGUGCAAAAAAUAUAAUUUUAUAUAGCUGGAAUGAGCACUGAGCCAUAAAAGGUAUUUCAGCAAGUUGUAAUUUAUUUUGGCCUAAAAAUGAGGUUUUUUUGUAAAGGAAAAAUGUUUGUUCUUAUGUAUUGAAGAAGUGUACGUUUAUAUAAUGAUUUUUUAAAUGCCCAAAGGACUAGUUUGAAAACCUCUUCCAAGAAUUCCUCUAAUAUGACCUUAUAUGAAAAGGGAUAAUACAUGAUCAAAUAAACUCAGUUUUUUUUAUGGUUACUGUAAAAAGACUGUGUAAGGCAGCUUAGCACCAGGCUUCUCAUAAAAGCAGCUUAAAUUAUCCACUGGGGUUAUCUUUUGACAACCUGCUAUUAUCUGGUGUUACACAAUUCAAUAGCAAGCAAGUUUCAGACAACUGCAGUUCAAAAGCAUGAACCAUAUAACAAAAAGUGGAAUAAUUAAAGAUAAGGCACUUCUUCCCAAAGGGAAUUAUCACCUAGUGAAAAAUUACGCAUUUCAUCUACUCAGUUACUGACUGCAAGCAAGUCUCUCUGCUCUAGCUCUCAAGCUUUGGGUGAAUGUCCCUGCGAAAUGUAUCUUCAAGUUGAAAGUUCACACUCCAGUCAAAAACUCCUUUUACUGAGUUUGCAGUACUGUAUUUGCAUGUGUGUAUUUCUCUGGACCUUUAUUGCUACUUUUGCUUUCCUUUGUUACACAGACUUUGUGUUGCACUUUCUUCUCCAGAGGGGUGAUAUAGAGCCCUGGUUAUAUGAAUAAUACCAGUGAUAGUGUCCACAGCUCAAAUGCAAGCCCAUUUGUCAUCACUCCUUUCAUCUCUCUGAGAGGAUUUAUUGUGUGCAGAGUAUGAAGCAGUUGUGGAGCUCUGUGCCUUUGUCAAGAUACCAUCUUGUUUGAUGACUUCUUUCUUUGUUGUUUUUCCUUGAAAAUGUCAGUAAGCUCUGUUAUGCUUCUAGCAAAUUGUGAGACUGUUUGUUUCCACCCUCAUAACCUGUUGCAAUAAAUAUUAUUUCUCACAUAUUUUAAUAUUAUUAAGUUUGUUGGAGAAAACAAACCAUAAAAAUUCAUUUGCUGUUCAGUUUUCAAUUACAAUAAAGAAAUAGAACAUUGUUAAUUUCUGAGACUUGAUGGACAGUAAUAUGGAAAAUCUUUUCGUUUGCCUAUUUGUGCAUCUGCAUCGGUGAAAUUUCUCAUAUUUUUAACCUAUUUUCUAAUUCAAUUUUUUUUCUAUGAUAUACUUUACUUUGUAGAGCAAUUUUUGGUUCCCAGCAAAAUUCAGUGGAAGGUACAGAGAUUUCUCAUAUAGCUCCUUCCCCCACAUAUGCAUAGCCUUCCCCAUUGUCAACAUCCUCCACCAAAGUGGUAGAUUAUCAUCCAACAUCCCUAGUUUAUAGUUGGCUCACACUUGUACAUUGUGUGGGUUUGGACAACUGUAAAAUGGCACAUAUUCACAUAUUAUGGUAACAUACAGAGUACUUUGACUACCCUAAUAAUCCUCUUUGCUCAGUCUAAAUUUGUGUAUUUCUUUCACUUCUGUCACUUAUUGCUUCACGUUUUGCAGCUGUUUUUUAGUGCAUACACACUGAUGGUUCUGAAAUCAUCUUUGUAAGUUGACAUUUUUAUCAUGUAAUCUCCCUGUUUUUCCCUGUUAUUUUUAUUUUCUCUGAAGAUUACUUCUUUUGUUCCAGUCAAUUUUGCAAGUUUAUUUGCCAAAGUUAAGGAUGCUUGCCUGUGACACAGCCUCAAGAGGUCCUGGCCACAUAUACCCAAGGUGGUUGGGGCGCAGCUUGGUUUUAUACACUUUUAGGAGAUAUCAGUUAAUGUGUAAGAUGCACAUUGGUUUGGUUUGGAAAG
rnacentral:lncRNA from 1 species